UAGAGACAGAGUUUUGCUACAUUGCUCAGGCUGAUCUCUCCUCUUGGGCUCAAGUGAUCUGCCAGCCUUGGCCUCCUGAAGUGCUGGGAUUAUAGGCAUGAGCCACCAUGCCCGGCCCAAUAUCAACAUUCUGAACAUCAGCCUUUGUACUGAGUGAUAAUACAGCAACGCUGUCAAGGCCCACUGGGAGAACAAAGAGAGGUGGAUCCCAGGAGGCAGCCAGGGGAUGCAAGGAGCCAACAUGCCAUCAGAGAGGGGUGAAGAGAUAAGGUCCCAAGGAAAGCUAUUGGAAAGCUUUCUACCAAAAGGGAGAUCAAGGACCACAGAGCACAUCCUGAAAGACAAGUCAUCCUCAGUGAGUGCCUUAUCAAGCUUAUUACUUCAUGGUGACAAGAGGGCUGCACUUGAUCCAACAUCAAUUUUGGAUUCCAGUAAGCAAGAAGAAGAAGACAAAUGAGAAAAAGAUAUAAGCCAGCAAACCUUCCAAGAGCAAAGGGGACACUUUCCCUUCACCCCUGCAGAAGACGUCUCCGAGGAAGUGAAACAUUGGUGGAUAUAUGAUAGAAAUCAUCAUGGUAAAGAAAGUAUUACAGUAAGACUGAAAACCAACCAUUUUGCCCAAGGGACAGACCCUCAGCUGUGACUCUGCACCUGAUCUCUGUGGCUUUGCUGAAAUGUAGCUUUAACCCUGGAGUACCCUAAAGGUGAGCACCAGCGCGAUGGAGAGGUGAGAGCACAGACUUUGGCUGUUGGCCUCAGUUUCUUCCUCUGCAGUUUGGUGUGAAGCUCAGAGAUGGUGCAUGGAGCCCCCAGAGAUAGUAGCUGGCACCUGGAGACCCAUGCCCUGCUUGGGCCACACCUCUGCUGGUGCAGGGAAACCUGGGCAACCCGAGGUGGACAGACCAGUUCUACUGGAAGCUGGUCCCCAUCACCUGUACUUUUCCCACAAAAGACUCCCUUCCUUAUCCCCUUCCUCACUCACCCACAAAAGAACCCUUUCCUUAUCCAUGACCUGUACUUUACCCACAAGAAACCCCCUUCCUUACCCACUCCCUUCCUUACUCAAUCUGGCAGGGCUCAGAUUGCAAUAAAGAAGGGUCAGUAAUCCACAAAUCCAAAUAUUCAGUUUCCUGGCAGACGUAGAAUCAUUCAUAUUCUUGAAUCAAAAGGAUCUGUUCACGAUUAGAAAAAAAAAUUCAUCUAACUGCGUUUUUCAUUAAUAGAAACUGCAUAUAGAAAUCCUCUAGAACAACAUCAUACACCAUGGAGUUGACAAUUCAUCAUGCUCUAUUCUAGGCUCGGCUUCAGCAUAUUUGAAAUCAGCUAGGAGGCUUCUGUUGAUACAAAAUACAGUAUUUGUAGACUGAUCUAGUCCUGCAGCAGGUGGUAAAGAAGUAUGAACUGAAACUGCCAUAUGGCGGUGUGAAGGAAAUGUUUCUCUCCAGAGAAAUACUUGAAAGUGUCAUAAAAACAGUAAAAACAUUUAACAGCUCAAAAGGCUUAAAUUCAGUAUGUACAGAAACUGUGUCAACUUUGGAGUCAGGCUGCUUUCAUUAAAAUCUCAGCAGAUAGAUGAUAACUUUCACUCGCGUCCAUGUGAAGAGACCACUAAACAGGCUUUGUGUGAGCAAUAAAGCUUUUAAUCACCUGGGU
rnacentral:lncRNA from 1 species